AUUGAACGCUGGCGGAAUGCUUUACACAUGCAAGUCGAACGGCAGCACGGGUGCUUGCACCUGGUGGCGAGUGGCGAACGGGUGAGUAAUACAUCGGAACGUACCCAGUUGUGGGGGAUAACUAACCGAAAGGUUAGCUAAUACCGCAUACGACCUGAGGGUGAAAGCGGGGGACCGUAAGGCCUCGCGCAAUUGGAGCGGCCGAUGUCUGAUUAGCUAGUUGGUAGGGUAAAGGCCUACCAAGGCGACGAUCAGUAGCUGGUCUGAGAGGAUGAUCAGCCACACUGGAACUGAGACACGGUCCAGACUCCUACGGGAGGCAGCAGUGGGGAAUUUUGGACAAUGGGCGAAAGCCUGAUCCAGCCAUUCCGCGUGAGUGAAGAAGGCCUUCGGGUUGUAAAGCUCUUUCGGCAGGGAAGAAACGGCCUAGGUUAAUACCUUGGGCUAUGACGGUACCUGAAGAAGAAGCACCGGCUAACUACGUGCCAGCAGCCGCGGUAA
rnacentral:rRNA from 1 species